ensembl:snoRNA
GAAUCCCAUGGUCCCCGUGUCUUAAGAAGCUAACACAGAAGGGUAAAUGAAAUCUCCAUAAAACCCAGAGAUGAGGCAGUAAAACUCCUCUUUGGUUCCUGUCUGGAGUUACAACU